rnacentral:lncRNA from 1 species
GGGGAAACUGAGGUUCAAACUGGCAGAGACCGAGGGUCCCGCCGUCUCCUCCUCUGGCUCCUCAGUCUCCAGUCUGACCCAACAGAGCCAUAGUUUUCUGGGUGGGAAGAGCCUCUGCGGGCUGGUCCACGAGGGAGGUGAGGUGAGGGAGACGGGCUGUCCAGGCCUGCUGCUGUCCCAGGGCGGCAGCUUCAGGCUGUGAUUGAGGCCGGGUGGAGGGGUGGCGGGAUGGAGGGGUGGAGUGGGAGGGCAGAGCUGCUGGCAGGGCCCCACUCCUGCCCCCCUCCCCCCCACCCCAGGCUGACCUUCUUUAGCACUUCCCAGCCUUUCCAGGAGCUCAGAGGCCACCCAGGCGCAGGAAGUCAGUGCCCAGGGCAGGAAUGAGUCUGAGGAAAGGAGGCGAGGACAGGACUGGGACAGUCUCGGGGGCCAUCCUCUGCCUCUCCCCAUCAGAUAGCCGAUUUGGGGCGAGAACGGUAUGGGAGGUUCCGUUUAAUUCAUUCCAAUUCAGCAUCCGUUCAUUGAGCAUCUCCCGUGGGCCUGGCACCGUGCCGGGCCCCAGGGAGGCACACGAAGCCAUAGACGAGUUGGGAACUGCAGGUCAGCCCCAUGGGGGCCAAGACUAGUUUUUUUGUUUUGUCUUGUUUUGUUUUGGGGGUUUCUUUGGUGCAUCUAAUUCCACCUGUGCACCCACUGCUCCCAGGGCUGAAGUUGGAGAAGAAGCAAGAAAGUCCUGAAUCCGGGCCCUGGGAAGGAAAGGAAGGAUGGAAAGGGGGGGAAAGAUACCGCAGGGAACAGGGUGGUAGACCGGGAAGCGUGGGCACAGCGUGGGGGACAGACAGCCUGAGUCAGUUUCUACCAGCAAGCUGGUCCUCUCCCUGCAAAGCCCACUUCUGGCUGCGUGUUUCCGUCCCUGCGCUCUCGGCUGGGUCCAGUCUCCUGUUUUUCUCAACCGCCCCUGCCUCUCCUGUUGUCUUGGACCUCCUUGUCUGUCUCUUCCUCCUAAUUAAGGGCCCCUGUAAAGAGCUGGGCUGGCCGACCCAUGGGAUUUAG